GCCUCGGAGGAAACAGACCCUCGUGCUUCUGUCGUCAGGGUGACGUGGCCGGGCGGCCUGUUGCUGGCUCCGCGGCGGUCGCACAGCUCGGCGAGAGCCUCCCUUGCAACUACAGGGAGGGACCUUCGGUGUCCAAGCAAGACUACGGCGGGGCAGCUCACCUGUACCUCCACACUGACGGUCGUUGCGUUUUCCUCCACCUUCGUCGUGGUCGUCGU